ensembl:snRNA U6 U6 spliceosomal RNA
GUGCUUGCUUCAGCAGCACAUAUACUAAAAUUGGAAUGAUACAGAGAAGAUUAGCAUGGCCCCUGAGCAAGCAUGACAUGCAAAUUUGUGAAGCGCUCCAUAUUAAA